GAUGAACGCUCGCUACAGGCUUAACACAUGCAAGUCGAGGGGAAACGGCAUUAAGUGCUUGCACUUUUUGGACGUCGACCGGCGCACGGGUGAGUAACGCGUAUCCAACCUUCCCAUGACUAAGGGAUAACCUGCCGAAAGUCAGACUAAUACCUUAUGGUCUUCACUGACGGCAUCAGAUGUGAAGUAAAGAUUUAUCGGUUAUGGAUGGGGAUGCGUCUGAUUAGCUUGUUGGCGGGGUAACGGCCCACCAAGGCAACGAUCAGUAGGGGUUCUGAGAGGAAGGUCCCCCACAUUGGAACUGAGACACGGUCCAAACUCCUACGGGAGGCAGCAGUGAGGAAGAUUGGUCAAUGGGCGAGAGCCUGAACCAGCCAAGUAGCGUGCAGGAUGACGGCCCUAUGGGUUGUAAACUGCUUUUGUAUGGGGAUAAAGUCAAUCACGUGUGAUUGUUUGCAGGUACCAUACGAGUAAGGACCGGCUAAUUCCGUG
rnacentral:rRNA from 1 species